UGAAGAGAUAAAAUCAUUUCCUAUAUGAUUCAUUCAAUCCAUAUAGAGGGUGGAAAGUAUGGAAAAAUUUAUUAAGUUUGUUUAUGUUAUGUUCAUAUAUUUUUCUCUCCUUAUUUUUACACCCAUCGUCAAUGCUGGAGGUAUUAAGUGUGAAACUGUUGCUGAUUGUCCAAAUAAUUUGUGUGCGCGUGGUUUAACACCAAAGUGUUAUUUUUCCCGUUGUAUAUGUGUUUGAAUAACUACUCAUAUGAUAUGAAUGACAAACCCAAUAAAGUACAAAAAAAUUAAUAUUGUGUUAGAAUAUUCAAUGAGUUGGCCCCUAAUAAUUUAAUUUAAUUUUAGAUAUCUUGCUUUGAAUUUGUACCUUGAGGUUAUAUUAAUAAUGUGAAUUGAGGCAUAAAAAUAUAAUACAGAUUGUUUCCUUCUCUCAUAAUUUUAAAUAUAUCUAUAUAACCUUGAACCUUUUCAUAUUGAAAACUUGAAUUUUCAAAUCAAGUGAUUACAAUGGAUCCUGUACAUACUUCUCCCAUUUCAAAAUCAUAUUGUAAUUGUAGAGACAACAAUCAUACUUCUAAUUCGAUGGUUUAUUCAAACUGCAAAUGACGAUAGACACCUUAUUUUCGAGGUGGGGUUUUUUCGGGGUUUGAUGGGCCACCACGAUUACAAAUUUCGGAAAAAAAAAUGUCGGAUUGUCCAUACUAUAGUAUUAUGUUUUUUCAGAAAUUCAACAAGGAUUUACUCUUUUGAAUGUGAUGUAGAAUAAAUUUUCAAAGGAAGAUCAUUCAUAAUCAAAACCUUUCAAAACAUUCAAAAGUACAUCUAUUAAAUUGAGUGAUCAUUUUACAACAUCCAUUAACAACAAUGCUCAAAUAACAUCCAAUAUGAUUUCCAAACCAACAUUCAAAAGCAACAACCUAACAAAAUAACAACCUAUACAAAAUACUAAAUUUUCUUCUUUUUGGAAUUUCAUUUUUUAUUAGUGUUUUCUUCUUAGUUGGUAUUUUCUUUUGAAUAGAUGCACUUUGCUAAAAUGAUUGUGAAAUACUAAGUAUUGUUUAGGUCAUACACUUAGCCUUAGUUUGUAGAUUUUGUUGAUUGGAGAUAAAUGUCUAUAUGUGAUAAUAAUGACUAAUACCUCCAAAAUCAUCAAUUA